rnacentral:rRNA from 1 species
AGGAUAGAGGCCUACCAUGGUGGUAACGGGUAACGGGGUGUUAGGGCACGACACCGGAGAGGGAGCCUGAGAAACGGCUACCACAUCCAAGGAUGGCAGCAGGCGCGCAAAUUACCCAAUCCCGACACGGGGAGGUAGUGACAAUAAAUAACAAUACGGGGUUCUUUAGGAUCUCGUAAUUGGAAUGAGUACAAUUUAAAUCUCUUAACGAGGAACAAUUGGAGGGCAAGUCCGGUGCCAGCAGCCGCGGUAAUUCCAGCUCCAAUAGCGUAUAUUAAAGUUGUUGCAGUUAAAAAGCUCGUAGUUAAAUUUCGGGGUUAGUAGGUUGGUCAUGCCUCUGGUAUGUACUGGUCUCACUGAUUCCUCCUUCCUUAUGAACCGUAAUGCCAUUAAUUUGGUGUUGCGGGGAAUUUGGACUGUUACUUUGAAAAAAUUAGAGUGUUUAAAGCAAGCUAACGCUUGAAUACAUUAGCAUGGAAUAAUGAAAUAGGACGUUCGAUCUUAUUUUGUUGGUUUCUAGGAUUGACGUAAUGAUUAAUAGGGAUAGUUGGGGGCAUUAGUAUUCAAUUGUCAGAGGUGAAAUUCUUGGAUUUAUUGAAGACUAACUACUGCGAAAGCAUUUGCCAAGGAUGUUUUCAUUAAUCAAGAACGAAAGUUAGGGGAUCGAAGACGAUCAGAUACCGUCGUAGUCUUAACCAUAAACUAUGCCGACUAGGGAUCGGAUGA